rnacentral:rRNA from 1 species
AUGGCUCGACCUCGGCGCCGGAGAUGUUGGACCUGGACGUCUCGCUUUCUCUCUCGGACGAUGACGAGGACGAGGCGGUGGAGGGUGAGAUCGAAUCGCGGCCUCCGUCGUCCUAUGAUUUGGAUGCGCCGCGUUCGCCCGCGCCCACACACUCGCCGGAGAAGAUGGCGAGAAGCUGCUCUCCUGAGUACCACGCCGAGGUGGCCGUCGCUCCACCCACCGCGCAGGACAUGGGGACGGCGCGCCCAUCGUCUUGCAUGGACGUCGACGGCACGGCGCCGCCUUCUCGCCGCUACGAUGGGCGAUCGGCGCGGCCGAGCUGCGAGGCGAUGCCAACGCGUCGGCCUUUUCCGGCGCGGUCGUCGUCGGGGUCAUCGCCAUCGCGCGCCCACGCCAAGGGGACAAGCGACACGUCGUCUUCGCACCUGUCACGGCGCCUCGUUCGCCGUGACGAGGUCACCUCCAGCCAUCCAGGCAACUACGGCGACGACAUGCCGCCCUCUCAAGGAGGGAUGCGCCGCACUCUACCGCGACAUGGGCCAGCAAUGCGCGGCCAAGAGGCGCCUCGAAGGUACAAGCCAUACUUUGAACACGAUCAAAGGGGGCAUCGUGGCGACGAAGAGCCGCAUGGCUAUCGAGGCCAAGGGCAUCGUGGCUACGAAACGCAAAACUUUUCAGCGCAGCAGGGUUAUUCUACUUCAUCCAAGCGGUUCGCGGGACAACGAGCCAGGGAGGAAGACCCGUACGGCGGCCGGCAGAUUCCGGCGCAGGAAGUUCAGAGCGGCGGGUAUCGUCAGUACCGGGAGCCGCCUGGUGCACGCUUUCCUGCACCCAAGCGGCCUUACCAUCAGUACGCGCGUGAUGCCGGUGAAGUCGACGGGAACAAGCAAGCAGAGCGUGAGCACCGGCGGUACCAGCACCGGCGCCAUGGCAAGCAGGAGAAGAAGCCGCAAGCACAGGCAAGAGGACCGGUUGGACGUCGGCGCCAGUAUUAUCAAGACGGGUACACCAACAGCUAGCCAAUCGCCGUCGCGACUCCAUUGA